rnacentral:rRNA from 1 species
AUUGAACGCUGGCGGCAGGCCUAACACAUGCAAGUCGAGCGGAUGAAGGGAGCUUGCUCCUGGAUUCAGCGGCGGACGGGUGAGUAAUGCCUAGGAAUCUGCCUGGUAGUUGGGGAUAACGUCCGGAAACGGGCGCUAAUACCGCAUACGUCCUGAGGUAGAAAGUGGGGGAUCUUCGGACCUCACGCUAUCAGAUGAGCCUAGGUCGGAUUAGCUAGUUGGUGGGGUAAAGGCCUACCAAGGCGACGAUCCGUAACUGGUCUGAGAGGAUGAUCAGUCACACUGGAACUGAGACACGGUCCAGACUCCUACGGGAGGCAGCAGUGGGGAAUAUUGGACAAUGGGCGAAAGCCUGAUCCAGCAAUGCCGCGUGUGUGAAGAAGGUCUUCGGAUUGUAAAGCACUUUAAGUUGGGAGGAAGGGAAGUAAGUUAAUACCUUGCUGUUUUGACGUUACCAACAGAAUAAGCACCGGCUAACUUCGUG